GCGGACGGGUGAGUAAUGCUUAGGAAUCUGCCUAUUAGUGGGGGACAACAUUUCGAAAGGAAUGCUAAUACCGCAUACGUCCUACGGGAGAAAGCAGGGGAUCUUCGGACCUUGCGCUAAUAGAUGAGCCUAAGUCGGAUUAGCUAGUUGGUGGGGUAAAGGCCUACCAAGGCGACGAUCUGUAGCGGGUCUGAGAGGAUGAUCCGCCACACUGGGACUGAGACACGGCCCAGACUCCUACGGGAGGCAGCAGUGGGGAAUAUUGGACAAUGGGCGCAAGCGUAUCCAGCCAUUCCGCGAGGUUUAAGGAGGCCUUUUUGUUUUUAAGCAAUUUAAGGGAGGAGGAGGCUACCUUAGGUAAAACCUUGAGAAAGUGGAUGUUACCUCCAGAAGAAGCACCGGCUAACUCUGUUCCAGCCGGCGCCGUAAUACCGAGGGUACAAGCUUUAAUCGGAUUUACUGGGCGUAAAGCGCGCGGAGGCGGGUUAUUAAGUCAAAUGUUAAAUCCCCGAGCUUGACUUGGGAAUUGCCUUCCAUACUGGUUAGCUUGUAGUGUGGAGAGAGAUGGUAGAAUUCUCCGGAGUAGCGGCGGAAUGCGGAGAGAUCUUGAGGAAUACCCAUGGCGGAGGCGCCAUCUGGCUCACACUGAACUUGAGGUGCGAAACAUGGUGAGCGAACAGGAUUAGAUACCCCGGAUAGCAUGCCGUAAACAAUUCUACAUGCCGUUGGGGCCUUGGACUCUAGUGGCCCCCUCCACGCGCUAGUAGACCGCCUGGGAGCACGUCGCAGACUAAACUCAAUUGAUUGACGAGUGCCUCGCCAGCGUGCGGAGGCAUGUAGUUCAGUCGAUGCAUCGAAGACCUACCCUGCUGACAAGUAGAACUUUCCAGGAGUCGAUCGG
rnacentral:rRNA from 1 species